rnacentral:lncRNA from 1 species
UUCAAGGCAAGUGAAGACUGAAGUUAAACGUCAUGUUAUUUUUUUCUCGAAAGCGCAGGAGGACUGCGCAUCUUUAUAUAUUAGAGAGAAGAAAAACACCCACAAAGGGAAAAAUACAGAACACAAAUAUACACCCAAACAGACACACACACACUUCUUAAGAACACAACAGGACAGGGAGACCUGCCACGCAGGACCCGACGUCUACAAAGCAGAAACACGGUCAGCCAAACCAAUGCUCCCCAGUUGCUUGGCUCCAGCUAAAACCCAGCAAGCGAGCUCAUCAAGGAAGGAUCUCAGCACCUUUGCAAUGGAAGGGGACUCCUCAUGGAAGAUCACUCGGUUCCUAUGAAGCCAAAGGCACCAUGCCCCAAGGAUGAUAGCACUGUUGAAGCCCUUCUUCUUGUCUUUGUGGAUCUGAUUGAUCACUCCUUCCGACCACUCCACAAAGGAGGCCUCCACAGGACUAGGAAUAAGGUGUCCUAGGUUUUUUUUUAUUAUUUUUUUAUAUAGAACGCGCAGGAGAACUGUGUCCUAGGUUAAAAGGGGCUAGAAUGCCAUGCCAGAACUGACGUGCAAAAACACAUGUAGUUAGGAGAUGUUGAAUUGUCUCCUGCUCUUGAUCACAAAGGGGACAAACAACCGGGUGGGGCAUACCACGCUUUCGUAAUCUGUCAGCUGUCCAACACCUAUUUCGUAUGGCCAGCCAUAGGAAGGUUUUGCAUUUGGGGGUGGGGGGGCAAUGUAACACCCUGAAUUUGGGGGUAUGAAAUUUCUUUUCUAAUAUCCACCAAAUUCAGGUGUUACUCUCUCGUUUCCUUAGUUUUCUUUUCUUUUUCCUAAAGGGUGAAGAAUUAUUUUGUUUUAUAUGUGUAAACCAAGUAAAAUAAAAUCUUAAAGGAGUUUUGAUUGUUGUAUCAUGCUGGAUCACAUGAGUAUUUUGUUUGAAGAGUGAUUGUUGUGCAUUCAUUGAGAAUUGUGAGUUGUGCUCAAGUUUGGAAAGAAGUGGAUAAAGAAAAGAAGAAGAAAUAAAAAAGGGAAAACCACACCAGCCCCCUCCUUUCGGCCUCAGCUGGCCCGGCCCGUUUUCCC